rnacentral:rRNA from 1 species
UACGUAGGGGGGCAAGCGUUUGUCCGGAAUCACUGGGCGUAAAGCGCGCGCAGGCGGCGAUCUACGUCUGGGGUGAAAGCCCAGAGCUCAACUCUGGGACUGCCUUGGAUACGGGAUCGCUUUGAGGAUCGGAGAGGCAAGGGGGAAUUCCACGUGUAGCGGUGAAAUGCGUAGAGAUGUGGAGGAACACCUGUGGCGAAGGCGGGUCUCUGGGCCGAUACUGACGCUGAGGAGCGAAAGCGUGGGGGAGCAAACAGG